CAGCCGCCGCGGUAAUGCGUAGGUCCCGAGCGUUGUCCGGAUUUAUUGGGCGUAAAGCGAGCGCAGGCGGUUUAAUAAGUCUGAUGUGAAAGCCCACGGCUCAACCGUGGAGGGUCAUUGGAAACUGUUAAACUUGAGUGCAGGAGAGAAAAGUGGAAUUCCUAGUGUAGCGGUGAAAUGCGUAGAGAUUAGGAGGAACACAGUGGCGAAGGCGGCUUUUUGGCCUGUAACUGACACUGAGGCGCGAAAGCGUGGGGAGCAAACAGGAUUAGAUACCCGCGUAGUCCCUGUCUCUUAUACA
rnacentral:rRNA from 1 species